GAUUUCUAUUUGGUUGCUUGGAUUCUGCAUGUUGGGGAUAAGAUUAUCCUGACAACAUCCUCAUGCACAGCGUGUGGACAUUGAGAUUAAAGAUCAACAGAGCUUUAUUGCAGUUUGGGAGAAUGAGAGUUGAGAUUUCUAUUAGGAGUGCCGUUGUGUGAAGUUUGUGAAGGACUUAUUAAAAUGUGUCAGACAAGUUACAGAGUGA